AUGGGGCGUUCGAAGGCUAGCAUGGACGACAGUGACAUAGCAGAGUUGAUUGGCAUGAAGGGCGAAUUUCUGCAAAAUCGUGAAGACACAGCCGAGAUGCAAGGUGAGCUUGACGACCUUCGCAAAGAUGUUCAUGCUAUACAUCUCAAGCAGGACGCCAUGACCCAAGUCAUGUCAGGGGUGCAAGAAGCAGUAGCUGCUCUCAACACGCAGUUAUCUACUAUGGCAGAUGUUCUCAAAAGCUUCAACCGUGCACCCAGCCCGGUGCAAAUACUCCCAGAGAAACAAGUUCCCAUGGGUCAGCCAGCCCCCGCCACUGAUAUACCCCAAUCUUCUGGUGAGGCAGCAGUUCUAGACACCACCAGGCCAUUAACUGAUGAAUUGUGCAAAAUAUUGGCACUGGAACAGGAGAAAACUAAACAGUGUGCUCUGCAAUUGCCUCCGAACCUGCCUCUAGUCAGAGUACCAACGAGGUCCGCUCCCCCUGGUUAUCCUGAAGUACCCAGGCGUGAGAUCCAGUCGGGCAACGUUACCCCUACAGCAACAUAUCGCACAUCACAUACAACUAAGUUUCACAACUUUCAGCCACCAGCAGUCAAGACACAUUGGGAGGAUUUCUACCGUCAGUACGAGCAGGAGAUGCGUACUCAAUUCCUGAAGUCUAUCACUAAAGGUCCUCGCCUUGAUUUCCCUUCCUUCGAUGGGGUCAAUCCAGAGGGUUGGAUCCGUCAAUGUGAGAAAUUCUUCCAGAUGGCUGGCAUUCUCUCUAAGAAACCCUCCUGGUCUGAAUUUUACACUGAGAUUUUGCACAGAUUCUCAGCAUCUAGCUCAUAUGAUUUGACUGAAAAAUUCUCCUCUCUCAAGCAAAACAAUCUGACAGUAGCUGAAUAUACAGACCAGUUUGAAGAACUUAUGGCUGAUGUUCAACAAGAGAACCCACAAAUUUCUGAAAGUUGGUUUGUGCGCUGCUAUGUUAAUGGGCUUCGCUCUCAACUCAAAUUCCAAUUGAGACCAUUGAGGCCAGUUACAUUAACUGAUGCCUAUUGGUUAGCUGUUUUAACUGAUGCCUAUUGGUUAGCUGUGGACAUGGAACAGGGAGCACCAGCCAAGAAGAAGUUCCAACAAUACUCUUCCUCAUCCAAAACUCCUACUGUAUUCCCCAAGCAAACCAACUCUCUGCCGGAUAAAGAAGCUGAAUUUAAAGCACCUGUCACUACAAUGAGAGCAAGGGAACCAGGGAAGUGCCAGAGAUGUGGUGCUCAGUGGUUUCAUGGUCACAAGUGCAAACAAGCCCCUAUAAUCAAUGUACUGACUGGGGAAAUGCCCACUGAGAACAUAGUAGAACAAGAAGAAAUGGAAGAGGCAGAAUAG
rnacentral:rRNA from 1 species